GCCAGCAUGACAUAGUGGUUUGAGUGUUGGACUAUAUGACUCUGGAGACCAGGGUUCGAAUCCCAGCUCAGCCA